CUGAUAAAGAAGCGAGACCUGGAGCCUCUGAUAAUCAGCACCAUAUGGAAAGGGGACAAGGCGCAGGAGACGAGAGAGAAGGGAGCCAAGACUGGCCACAAGACAGCUUGAGCAAACCAGUGGCGGUCCCAAGGGAGUGAUGAAGAGUACAAGCCAGACUGGCCAAAGGCAUGGGUCCUGCAGAAAGCUGGACAUCACAGCGCAGAUGCUCCAGAGGCUAAACCAGCUACAGACAUCACAGGUAGCCUUCAAGCGCAUCUCUUCCUGAAACAGCUGCGAUCCCUGGAAGCCCAGCCUAGUGGAGACUGAACCAGCCCCAGUAUUUCCCCAAGGGCAGUCUGGAUCCACUCCCCUUCAGAUUGCCCCAUUGCCCCUCCCCACUUGAGGCCUGACUUGAGGGAGAGGGGACAUUGCUCACAGCUGGGAACUUAAUGCCACUUUGACUGUUAAACCUGCCAGUGCCAGCUCAGCACACACCUGUCAGCUCUUUAAAGCCCAGCACUGAAGAAGCUGGAAGGCGGCCAGGCAGAGAACACUGUGUGGAGAGUUUGCCUGCACCCCUCCCCCCCAUACGCAGGUCAGUGGUGGUAGACGUGACUGCACUUUGGGGUCACUGGGGGAAGAAGUGCUAUACACAUAUUAGAGGGUAGUUUGGAGGAACCCUGCUGGAGAACCGCAUGGAGUGAACCUUUAACCCAAGUGGGCUCCCACAGUGGGAGUGCGGCGCAUGCACAGACUGCACUGGGCACCUCCUCAGCAAGGCCAGAGGCACACAGGCCCUGGAAACUGUGUGCUGACACAGCACAAGAAAGCUGUGCUGAGUGGUAAACAGAGGCUGGCUCACCUUACAUGAUCCCACACAGAAGCGGACAAGCUGCGUGGGAAGAGAGCCAAAGCCUCUGCUGCUAUAACCAGAACAAAACAGCACCACAUUAAGUUAUAGUGACACAACUAAGCAGGCAGUCACUGCCAACAGAGGUCAGCAGUAGAGCAGAGGAGUGCUGGCGUUCGGGGGGGCGAUGCCUGGAUUGGGGUGCAGGAGAGAAAAGGGAAACAGGGACUGGGGCACAGGCUGAGGCAGAAGGAUGCUAAGGAAGGGGAACUGGGACAAACCUUUGGGUUUUAUUUUUAGCCUCUUGCUAAGGCACAAGGAUUAAGACCAGAAGGCAGCUGGUAUAUCAAGUCCUACUCAUCACAGCAAGCAGAGCACCAGUGACAUGCUACUGAAAGGUUAAUAUUCUUCGGGCUCCAUGCCUGCUGCAAGAACAGCGUGGCACUGAACGCCUGAGCGGAUUGGCAGAGAUGAAAACGUAGUGCUGAGCACACAGCCUGCCCUCUCAGUGAUCCCUCCCCCUGGAACUUGCCAGCAGGGUGCAGCACAAUGCAGUGGCCAGGGGGAAGGCAGCAGGUUGGGAUCCUUGGGAAGCAGAGUCAGCAUGUCCCUCACAACAGGGCACGUGGGGAUCAUGGGCCUUUCAAACCUGAACGAGACUCAAAACCUGUCCUGAGCCCCCUGGGCUAGUGAGACACACACAGAGCAGGAUGGGGCUCAGAUCCACUCCUGAGAACAGCCCACUCCAUGCAGUCUUCUGCACAGAGCUCCACAGAGCACAUGGGUGAACUUUUACAUGCUCAGCUAGCUGCUGUUGUGGUUAAGUGCCCGCAAUUUGCCCCUCAUGCUGACGCCAAGUAUCAGUACAGGGAGCUCUGUCAGGUGAGCAAUAAAGACAGCUCUAAUGAUACACCCAACACGCGGCAAGGCUCAUCCCCCUUCUCAGCAUCAAUCUCUCACGCCUCCCAAGUGGGGGAGCAAGAGAGAAGCCCCCUUUGCAUCCCCCUUUUCACCACAACCAGGCGUGCAUGAACCCACCCACUACUAACAGAUUUGCAUUCUGAGAUCCUCAGCGGGAAGUCUCUGUAAAAUGGCUUCUAGCCGAAUGGCCACUUGCCAAACCAAGAUGGGGUUGCCCGAGCAGAGUCCAGGAACUGCCCAUUCCCAGCAGUACAGAUAGAGGGCACCCUGCUGUGGAUUUCAGCAAAAACAGCCCCCAGAUCUUAUCCUGCACCCUCAUCUUGUACAUUGCUCUCUGGCUAUUAGAUUUAGCCCUUUGGCUAAUAAGUACCUAGAAAAUUACUCCAGCCCUGGUUAAUAGCCUAUGUUUACAUGUAGCAGACAUUUAAAACCAUGGUAUAUCCAUGUUAGAGAAUACCACGUUCAAAUCCAGCUUUGGUAGGGGAGUGUCUGACAUCUCUGUUGAACACAGUUGCUUAAACUGGUUGUUUGGAGAGCGCCAUGUGUAUCCAGGUUCUGCUACAACCUAAAGAAUAAGCUGUGUCAUUGGCAGGGGCUUCCCAUGGUUUGGGGUAGAUCCACAUCAGCCAGACCUUCCAGGUGAUCCUACAAUGCCCAGGACACCAAACAGGUGUUUGCCCAACAUUGGAUUCCAAACCAGUAAGCAAACAGCAAUCUGGCACAACUGCGUCUGUGUGUAUUUGGAGUACUGCAAACAGCUGCACAGGUGAACGUGCACUCAUCCAACACACCUGCAAAAGAGACAUACUGGGCAUGCCUCUCUCACAGCUGUGAAGAAUGGAAAGCUCCAGGCUGGGUCAGGGACACUGCAGUGCCCACGCUGUAAAAUUCAUCCCACUUAGUGAAUAACCUCACUGAAGAUGAGUCCCAACACCAACACCAACUAUGACACGGUCCGCAAAGAACAGAAAUAUGGCUAGCAACACAUUCCCCAGCAGUCACUGAACUGCAGACAGACAGUAACGGCUUCCAUGCUUUGUCCACUCAAAGAUUUGUUUCUAUAAGCGAGAAUUUUUACUACUGCAUUUUACAGAUAUUGAAAAAAAUACAUCCAGGAAGUACAUCCCUCCUCUUGAUCUCACAGCAUAUCUAGUCUUCAGUGUCUUCCAGAUGCUAAGCUACCUGAGGCAGAAACAGGCUACUUUUGCAUGGCAUACAGCAUAGAUCUCAUUGUGUACACUUCUGUAGCAGCAAAGAACAUGAAAUGCAGAUGAGAUGGAGUACCUGAUUUCAGAGGAGAUGCACGCACAGAAACAGCAGAACAAGUGUGGCUUGCAAAACAGCUACAGCUUUGUAUAACAACCGUGACAAAUUCCCACCUGGAAGCUCUUCCUGUUUGCACCCAGGUAUCAGAAAACUCCAGUAGCUAGCAAGCACUGGCUAGGUAACAGACACAUUGCCUCCUUUUAGUUUAGACAUAGGCUGACAGAACGUACCCUACUUGUAGUAUUCUUUCAUGCAAGGAUGCUGCUUAGGAACAAGAUUAAGAGUGAACUGGAAAGUGAAAACAGAGCUAGAUAAAACACAAAUGUGCUUCGAAAAGAGGGAUUUCAGCACAGAAAUGAGAUUUAAAAAGAUGCUGUCAACUUGAAAAAAGUCACGUUCCUCCCAACCUUUUUGUUAAAUCUAUUAUACAGUUACUAACACAAAAAAUGCAGAGACAGGCUUUUUGUUUAUGUUACUACAAUGCCUAAUACAAUGGGACUUGGUCCAUUACCCAAAUAAUAUGACUAAAAAUGAAAUGAGAGAAUAAAUUCUCUAUUUACUCCAGUGUA